rnacentral:rRNA from 1 species
UCCGGUUGAUCCUGCCAGAGGCGACCGCUUUUGGAGUUCGAUUAAGCCAUGCGAGUAGAAAGAAAUUAGAUUCUUUGCAAACUGCUCAGUAACACGUGGAUAACCUGCCCUAUGCUCCGGAAUAACCUCGGGAAACUGAGAAUAAUACCGGAUAGAUCACAACGCCUGGAACGGUGUGUGGUUCAAAGGUCACGGCAUAGGAUGGGUCUGCGGCGUAUCAGGUCGUAGGGGGUGUAACGGACCUCCUAGCCAUCGACGCGUACGGGUGUUGGGAGACAUAGCCCGGAGAUGGAUUCUGAGACACGAAUCCAGACCCUACGGGGUGCAGCAGGCGCGAAAACUUCACACUGCAGGAAACUGUGAUGAGGGAACUCCAAGUGCGCGCACUUAGUGUGCGCUUUUCUUGACUAUUAAUCGGUCAUGGAAUAAGGGCUGGGAAAGACCGGUGCCAGCCGCCGCGGUAAUACCGGCAGCUCAAGUGGUCGUCGCUUUUAUUGGGCCUAAAACGUCCGUAGCCUGUUUGGUAAAUCUGUGGGUAAAUCAACCAGCUUAACUGGUUGAAUUCUGCAGAGACUGCCAGACUAGGGACCGGGAGAGGUGUGGGGUACUCUAGGGGUAGGGGUAAAAUCCUGUCAUCCUUAGAGGACCACCAGUUGCGAAGGCGCCACACUGGAACGGAUCCGACGGUCAGGGACGAAGCCUAGGGGCACGAACCGGAUUAGAUACCCGGGUAGUCCUAGGUGUAAACGCUGUGAACUUGGUGUCG